GGGGGUGUAGCUCAAUUGGUAGAGCGUCUGCUUUGCACGCAGAAGGCAGUGAGUUCGAAUCUCAUCACCUCCA
rnacentral:tRNA from 1 species